rnacentral:sRNA from 18 species
UUGUGUUAGGGAUUGAUGCGGCAUCCUUUUUUGCUUUUUCUGCAAAAAAGAUAUAGCGGAAAGCCCGGUUAUUU